rnacentral:misc_RNA from 1 species
ACUACGGGUAUCUAAUCCUGUUUGCUCCCCACACUUUCGAUAUGGCAGCGUCAGUGUUAUCCCAGGAGGCUGCUUCGCCAUCGGUGUUCUCCGCACACUCUACGCAUUCCUGCUACACGCGAAUUCCGCCUCCCACUGACACACUCUAGCUCGGUAGUUAAAAAUGCAGUUCUUGGAUAAGCUCUGGUUCAUCACUGCCGAGCACCGCCUGCUGCACGCUUUACGCCCAGUAAUUCCGAUUAACGCUUGCACCCUACGUAUUACUGCGGCUGCCCGGCGCAUGGUUAACCAGUUAACAUUCACGGAAGAUACCGUCGUUCCACGAGUGUCCUCCACAUACGUUCUUCUAUAAAGUGCUUUGCUUGAAGGCCUUCAUCGCACGCGGGAUGGCUGAAUCAGAGUUUCCCCAUUGUCAAAAUUCCCCACUGCUGCGUCGCAGAAUAUUUUCUGAUACUCCAGGAGCAA